GGUUUACAAAUGGCCAGAUAUCGAUCGUAGGACAUCACAGUAAGUAGAAAAGAUUCCACUGUACCCGAGGCAAUAUAUAUAUAGAAUUGUGAAAUACAACCAACAAAUGGCAUAGUGCCCCCCUCUAAUAGUAUGAUACGUAACAUGUUAGGGACAAUGUUUGUAGUUAAAAGUAAUUCUGACAGUGACAGGUAUUUUAUGAAGUAAUAUAUUGGAUAUUGAAGUCGCUGA